rnacentral:lncRNA from 1 species
UUGCCUAUAAAGGCACCUUUUCUUCCAGCUCAAAAAAAAAAGAGGUAAAAAAUCCUGAAAAACUCAAAAAUGCUGAGACUCAAAAACAACACUGAAUCCCUUGCAUUUCUUGGCUGAAAAUUAUCAAAAUUCUGGUUGUUUUUCUCCUUAUGUUAGCUAGAACUCUUGAACUUUCCUUGGUUAUAUAUCUGGUUUGAAAAAAUGGUUUGAGAUUGGCUUGAAGUUGGGUGUAGAUUUAGUGUUUUUCUAUUGCUCUUCCGACUAAUUUUAAGUUGUUUUGCUUAUUAUUUAGUAUGCGAUAAAGUAGCUGGAAGACACGGAAAUAAAGGUAUCAUUUCCAAAAUUUUGCCUAUCCUGAUUCUGUGCUCUUUUUUACUGCUGUCGUUCACGAUCUUGCAUAUUUUUAUUCCUUUUCUCAUUUUUAGGUAUUUCUCACAUCCUUGACAUGUGAAAUGGAGGAACACGAUAAGCAUGAUUGAGUUUGAAAUAUAGAAUAUAUCAGCUUACUGAAUUCUAUCUCUUGCAAAUCAUCAAUUUAUGUAGUUAAUUUGAUUUUUUUGUCAUGUUCUUCUUUAUUUAUUGUUUCAUUUAAAGCGUGAUUCGUAAUAUCGGUUAAAUAAUGGGCUAUCCAUUUGGUAUACAUGAACGCGGUUUGUGGUGUUUGUUGUGCAUAAGAUAUGAUAAGAAAAGCCUAAUGUAGUUGAAUUACAUGGUUUUGAAAUCACAAGUAUGGGCUAUAAUUGACAAUUGAUAUGGAAUGGUCAUUGUAUUUUCAGAUUCAUGUUGGGAGUGAUUUGAUACUUAAGCAUAGUCUGAUUUGUUUAUUAGUAGCUUAAUCUAUUUAUUAGUAGUUUAAGUUGCUUAUUAGUCUUGUUUAAUGUCUCUGUACAAUUAGUCUAGUGGGAAAU